UCCUCUGUUCUUCAAAAACCCUAGCUCCGCCGCCACCCCAUACCCCCUAUUUGUGACCACCACCACCUUCAAUGAAAAAUCAAUACUCCCUCCAGUCUUACUUAUAAGCAAAAAUUGUUUUUUUAGGUUCAUUAAUUAAUGAAUGUAUUUGGUCUACAUAAUAAAUCAAAUACAUUUAUUACUCAAUGAACCUAAAAAAAAAAUUUUGCUUAAAAUAUGGCCGGAGUAGUACCAAAUACGUAUUCCCUGUCUGAUGUUUUUUGCGGCCACAGGGAGAAAUUGCUUAGGAUUUUUCUACCAAGAACAUGUUGAAGACAUGUAAAAUUCUAAACAAAUCCUAGAAAGAAGGAGUAGAAGUUCAGAUUUGUAAGAAGCAUCAAACUCUUUGUUCUCCUUUCUGAUUUGUAAGAAGCACCACACCAUUUGUAAUAAGAUUCUUCUGUUCUUUUCGGUUUGUAACCAAACUUCUAUUCUUGUGUGUUUGUAAUAAGCUUCUUCUCUCCUUUUACUACAUUUUUGGUUUAUCUCUUUUAAUACAUUUUUCGAUUUGAAGUGUUAAAUGUAUUGAAUGGAUAAAUGCCGAAGCCAGGAAGGGAGCAAAUCUUGGAUGCAAAUCUUGGGUGAUGGGAUAGAUUAUAUAUUAGUUAUGAAACAAAUUCAAAGUUGAGAUAAGUUGUGUUGUUGUAAGAGCAAGCAAAUAAUGAGAAUGUUCCUUUUAUUUUGCUGUAAUUUUUUUUUUUG